CUGGCGGCACGCCUAACACAUGCAAGUCGAACGAAGUAGCAAUACUUAGUGGCAGACGGGUGAGUAACAUGUGGGUAUCUACCCUUUGGCCUGGAAUAACACGAGGAAACUUGUGCUAAUACCGGAUAAGUCUUUACGGAGAAAGCUUUAUGCACCAUUGGAUGAGCCCGCACUUGAUUAGUUUGUUGGUGGGGUAACGGCCUACCAAGACUUUGAUCAAUAGCUGAUUUGAGAGGAUGAUCAGCCACAUUGGGACUGAGACACGGCCCAAACUCCUACGGGAGGCAGCAGUGGGGAAUCUUGCACAAUGGAGGAAACUCUGAUGCAGCGAUGCCGCGUGAGUGAAGAAGGCCCUUGGGUUGUAAAGCUCUUUCGUCGGGGAAGAAAAUGACUGUACCCGAAUAAGAAGGU
rnacentral:rRNA from 1 species